CGGACGGGCUAUUCUCCGGAAAAUUAUGAAGAUUAAUAUGAUCUAUAAAAGCUUUGUAAAAGCGAAGAGGAAAGCUGCUCAAGUACAAACAGGAGGAGGCAUUUCACGC